UGCACAGCAGUGAGAUAUUAGGCCGGAGGCCUUCAAGGGGGUAAGAGGAAGCCCCCAGCUUAAGCUGCUCAGGAACAUGUGUCCCUCCCCAGUUAGACUUGAGGUACUACGAACUUGGCUUACUGGCUACCCGGUUUAAAGGAAGAGUGUCACGUCUGGAGGAGGGUGCAGCGAGCAGGUCUGCAUCAGCGUCCACAGAAUCAUCUUCCUCAGCACCUGCCUCUUCAAUGGGUCUCCCAGACCUGGGAUCGAAUAUGCCAAUUGACUCUGCCAGCCCUGCAGCUCCGCCCCCUCCAGCCCUGCCGGUGCCUGGGCCUGCUGUGUUGCCUGCUUUGGUCAACCCUGGUCCCACAGUGCUGGCAUCUCUGAAUGCAGUCGCAGGGGCAUAGAUGUUCUGCAUACGGGGUCUUAUUGUAUCGUCCCUCCAACACUGCCGAUGGCAGAACGUUCAUUCUAACCCAGGUUUGCGGUCUGUCCCGUUGACUUCCCGUGUGGUCCUCUGUGGACACUCAAUCCUGUUCUGGGCGCAGAGGAGGGCCAAUUCGACUCCCAUUGGUACUCAGCUACACCUUUCAGCCUGGGCAACUGUUCAGUGGGUGGCUAUAAGGGGGGUGCUUUGGGGGGAGUUUCUUUCCACUGUCACCAGGGUGUUGACAGAUCGCCCUGCCCCACACAUAUUAGUUGUGCACCUUGGGGAGAAUGAUUUUGUGCAGCGACCAGGUACGGAAUUGCUGCACAAGAUCUUUCACGAUUUGUACUGUAUCAAAUACAAUUUCCCGGGCUUAUUUAUUAUCUGGUCUGACCUCUUGGAAAGGAGAGUCUGGUGGGGUGCUAUUCACCCCAACAGGAUUGACAGGGCUAGGCGAGGGGUGAACAGGAGAGUGCAUAAGCUGGUGAUGGCAUUGGGUUGGGCGUUUAUCCCUCAUGUCAGAAUUAGGCAUGAGGUCCCACAAUUGUUCCGGGAUGAUGGUGUUCAUCUUUCUGCUUGGGGUUGUGAUAUAUUUUUGGAGGACCUGUUGACUUGUUGGAAAUUCUUCUUGUGGGUAGAGGCGAUCAAGCUGUAGCUGAUAGUCUCUUGUGGCAUGGAGUUCAGGCAGGUGAGGAGGUUGGAGGGUUAGUCUGAAAUAGACCGAGGCAGUUAGGGGAUUAGGGGCACCCUUUGGGGAACACCCAGGUUUCAGGCCUGGGGUGCACCUGGGGGGUGGCUCUCGCAGCCUAUCAUGUGCAUUCUGGUGAACGCUGGUACGGCGGGGCCCGGAUGUGCAGGGUAGGUGAACAUCCAGGGCUAGCCUAGCAAGGAGGAACAGAUUUAUCCACAUCCUUGGCUGGGGGCCUGCAGCCUAUGGCUGUUGACAUGCCCAGGGGUCUGGGGGGGGAUGUUCUCCACCCAGAUAUAGUUUUAGGCUCAUCUGCCCAAACAGGUUUAAUUUGGUUAAUUUGGUCUGCAUGUUCUCCAAAACUAGUUAUAACAUUUCCCCAAGCUUUGUGUCUCUUGUCUUCCAUGGUGGUGUGAGGGCAAUGGAAAACUUUGGAAUUGCAGAUAGGAGUUAUGGCUUUACCGGAUGUGUUUUUUUGAUAAGAUCCCUGUCUCCUGAGGAAUGUUACUGUAAAUUCCUAGUUUUGGGUGAUUGAUCUCUUAUCCCCUAGAAGUCAGAGAACACCUUGAUACCUUUUAUCCAGAUGGCCCCAUUGUUUGUUGGAAGUGUCUGUUUUCUAAUGAUACAGAAACUCAUAAAUUUUGAUUUCUUCCCAUGGGAGUCAGGAUGUCUGUGCCCCUUGGCUUCUGGAAUUUACAGAUUCCAUGGAGGGGCUGGUUCCCACGAUUCUUUGCAGCUCUUAAGCUUCCAAACUUGGGUUCACUGAGAUGAAUCACAGAAUGAAAAAGCCCCCAAAUUAUUGAUAUCCUUUGCAACAUAAUUAUGAAUCAGGAAACUGCUGUACACAUUGCUAUCAGUAGAAAAAUGAAAGCAUGUUAUUGCAUGCUAUGUUUUCAUUGCCAAAUUUCAAAAAAUAAGAAAGAAGUGAAAUAGGAAAGAAAGAAGUUAUUGUAGAGGUUCUUUGAUGUAAUGUAUGUCAAGAGUUUAGAUACUUAGUAACAAGCAGGCAUCUUGUGAAAGAUAGGCCUUUGCUGAAAAGGCUAAUGUAUCAGACUUAAUUAAUGAAUUGCCAAAUACACUGCUGAAUAAGGAACACUGAGUAUUGGCAUCUAUAAUAUAUUUUCAUUAUUAAUUCAUAUACAUUCUGCAAGUGUUUUGAUCUUUGAGCACUACAGAACAAAGUUAUGUGGGUACACAGACAUAGUGAAGUUGAAUAACUCUCAUUCCUGCUCAUUCAUCACUCUUUUCAUCAAGAUGCUACGCAUUGCUAAAUCAUCUAUUCACCUCCAGAACUACUUAGCUUUAAUCUACCUGCUGACUAAUAUAAAACAUUGCCACUAUUUUCAAACAUUCAGUUUUUGCAGACCACAGAAAAUAAGUGACCCCAUGAUUCCUGGCAAGGAAAGAUGUUCCACCUGUCAUUUGCAAACAAUGAAUGGCUUCCCUUCAAAGAACAUUCAAAAAUCCCAAUUUGUUUUUCAGAUAAGAGGAAAUGUGAACUACCUCCUUAAUGAGAAGCUCCGUUGUUCCCCCAUAAUUUUGUAUCACCCACAGGACAAAAUGUCUGUUUUAAACUUUGGAGUUUUAUUCCAAGUUUCAUUAUAAUUUUUCUUCUCCUCUGUUAUUAUGGACAAUGAAAAAUUACUGAUCUGAAAAGUUAAUGAAAUCCCCUAUGCCACUUCUGUUGGGCCAAACUGUCUUAGGAAAGAUAUUUCUGGUAAGGUAUCAGCAUUGUUUUGGCCCUGCUUCAAUUGCUGGGAAAUUUUAGCCCUUUAUCCUAUGAAAUGCCUCCUCCAGUUCAUCCUCCAUAAAUAGAGUGGAGAACUGUAGGUCAUUUUAAUAUUGUUUAAUAUUAUUUUAAUGUUGUGGCAUGAAUCCCAGUGCCUCUAGUCCCUGUCUCUUAGCCCAUUUCUUCAAUCAUUCACCAACAGGAACUUACAUUCAUUCAUUAUUGGCCAAGCUGAUAUUAAACUGUUGGAGAAUCACCCUCCCAAGAGUAUUAAGCAAACUUGCUCCACAUUUCACUGCCCACAAAUAGGGUGGAGAACAGUAACUGCCGGUGGGGUGGAGCAGCAUUGCUCACCUGGCUUCCCAAUGCAACAUCACUACCAGGGAAAGAGAGGUGAUGGGCAGGUUGGCAUGGUAUGGGUAUAGUGCCAGAGGCAAUCUGAUACUCCUGCCUCUGUGGUCACAACCUCCCCACUGCCUCUCCUCUCCCUCUUGGUUACCAGUAGCGACCUCACAUUGGGAAGCCAGCUGAGCAAUGCCACCCAACCCUGGUAUGCCCUGCCACUGGUGGAGAAUUUGGGGACACUAUUUUUUUCCUGUACUGCAACAAAAGGUUGGUUCCAGAUCAGCAUCCUUCAUAAGAAGAAAUGUGAUUUGUCCAGUGGUAGAAGCCAUCCUCUGCUGAAGGAAGUGCUUUUAUGUGACAGAAGAAACACCUCUGGGUCCAACCGCUAGUUUGGUAAACCGAAUGCCCCUAAUAAAUUAGCUCAUGCCAUCCAGAGCUUACUGCAUUGCUUAUUAGAAAAAUAUUUUGUAAUUGCUUUUGGUAUGCAAUUAUGAUGCUAUAUGCAACACUUUCUAUGCUGACUAUACCUCUAGCAUCAAUACUGGCCUUUUGCUAAUCAAGGAAUGCUACACUAGAGGGACGUACCUGCCUAGGACAAUGAAGCAAUUUCUGUGUUCCCUUACCAGGGAAUGUGCCAUUUUUUUACUUAAUUGAGCAGUUCUUUUCUCAAACAUCUCUUGAUGUUGACAACCUAGUCAAUUACCACCCAUGGUCAGAUUCAAAGGUGACACACAUAGCAGUGCAUAUUAUAUUGCUUGUCAGUAAGCAACAUUGUAUAAUCUUCAUGUCAUGUUAUGUUAAAAACGUAGAAAAUAUUAAAGCAGGAGACUGACCAGAGAAGUAGUAGAUAAGCCAGGGAAUCUUAAUACAAAGUAUUUGGUAAUAAAUUAGGUAGAUUGGUAAUAAUAUUUUAGUUUAUUUGUCUGAUUUUAAUGCCAGAAUUGAAUAUGGAUUAUUUGGUUAUCCCAUAUUUUAGAAAAUGGGAUAAGCAUACUGCCUUCCAUGGUCAUCAACUCAAGGCAUUAUGCUUAUCCCCUUUUCUAAAAUAGUAUUAAUUACAAUAUUGAUUCUAAAGGCCUCAUAUGCUAUUCAUGAGUGGAAGCUGUCAUGGUAUGAUGGCUUCUUGAGUUUCCUGGGUCCUGUCUGAUUUACCAUAGAUAUUUCUGCUGCUUUGAAUUGUCUAUGGUUCAAACACAGAAUGUUCCUAGACAGCAAUGUGCAUUUUGCAUGUUUAUUGCUUCCAUAUUGAAUAGCAGCUCAGUCUCCAUCUGCAGUGGUGAAUCCCUUUGUCAUCAUUGAUCAUGACCUGAUUUUUAAUACCAAGAUACCUUGACAUAUAUUUUCUGCUUUAAUAAACCAACACUGAGGA